GGGCCCGCACAAGCGGUGGAGCAUGUGGUUUAAUUCGAUGAUACGCGAGGAACCUUACCAGGGCUUAAAUGGGAGAUGACAGGGGCAGAGACGCCCUUUUCUUCGGACAUCUUUCAAGGUGCUGCAUGGUUGUCGUCAGCUCGUGCCGUGAGGUGUCAGGUUAAGUCCUAUAACGAGCGCAACCCCUACCGUUAGUUGCCAGCGAUUCAAGUCGGGGACUCUAACGGGACUGCCGGUGCAAACCGUGAGGAAGGUGGGGACGACGUCAAAUCAUCACGGCCCUUACGUCCUGGGCUACACACGUGCUACAAUGGUCGGUACAGAGGGAAGCUACCCCGUAAGGGGAUGCGGAUCUAUAAAACCGAUCUCAGUUCGGAUCGGGGUCUGCAACUCGACUCUAUGAAGCUGGAAUCGCUAGUAAUCGCGCAUC
rnacentral:rRNA from 1 species